AAAAAAAAAUCUUUUACACAUAUUAUAAAGAUAAUUUUAACAUAAUGAGUGGUUAUAUGUUAGAAGAAACUUGUAGAAGAUAGUUUUCUACUAGAAUUUUAGGAUAAUUUGAGAAAUGUUUUUGUAAGUAAAUUUCCCCUGAAUAAUAUUUUAAAUAGAUUGUUACAUAAAUGAAUCUAACCAGCUAGUCUAUAGCUAGGGGUUGGGAGGACUGCUGGAUUGCAAAGUAGUUUGAAAACGAGUUUCUACAGUUUUAGCACAUUUAACAUUUUUAAUCAAAUGAACAAGGAAAUGUCAGUUUUCUCAUUUUCUUUGAAUCACAAACUUCAGAUCACUCUAAUCUACCGAAAAGCUAUUAAAUGAGUUUGGUCUGUUACAAGAAAUUUUGCUUGCUCUAUCAAGUGCGACCUGAGGCAGGCUUCAAGAGCUUUAAUUGCCGGAUACGUUCCAGCUUACCAGCAAAGGGAAUCUAAGCUGCUGGGCUUACAGAGUUACCCACUAGUAAGUUGCCUAAGCUUACUUAAAAUUGAGAGAUUUACAAUUGUCAGACUCUGUGCUUAGUUUGGAAAUAAAGAUUUAUAGGCAUAAUCCUUGACUUCCAAGUUGUUCGUUGACCUUAUAUCUAGUGCAUUGGAUGCUGAAGAUGUAAUAGGUGUGGAGGAAGAAACUUGGGCUACUGGGAAGGUUGCUGUAGCAGCACUGUGCAGGAUGCAUGAAAAGGGGAGAUGAAUACUUGGUGUCAGACUAGUCAGCUGGUUUCUGGUGUGGUCCAGUUGACAGCUAAGCUGAGGAGGGCUUGCAGAGCAGUAAGCCUAGAAAGGAAAGGGAAUUUUGAAAUGUUUAGGAAAGGGAAGUAAUAAUCUCAAUUCCUGCCUCGUGUGGAUGAAAAGACAGAUAAAUGAGUUUUGUCCAGUCAGUGCUUUCAUUAUGUAAACCCUGAUUCAAAAUCUUAUGUCUGCCACCAAGGCCCCCAUUUUUCCUUCACCCAUCUGACAAAAGUAUUUAGUUGAAGAAUCUUGUUUCUCAAGCUGGAUUUUACUUCAUUCCCCAUUAUCAUUUAUUCAGAUUUUAGUCUGCAGGAGAAAUCCAUUGUGCCCCUACUAAACAGCCAUUAGUUCCAGAAAAUGAUAAAAGGUAGCAUUUGAUGCUAAAUUAAUUCUUUUAGCCUGUUUCCCUUUGGCUUUUUCUAUUACUGAAAAUAGUUUAAAUGUAAAAAGACUGCCUUUCUGAGGUUGCUGGUAAGACCAAGCAUUGGGAGGUAUUUAAGUAGAGCAACAUACAAGCAGCGAAGGGAGGGAUCCAAGAAUUCUCAGCUCUGCGAAGCUCCCCUCAUGCAAAGGACUCGCGCUGUGUGUUGUUCAGUGUGGUGGCCUCUAGCCAUGUGUGGCUUUUGAGCAUUUGAAAUACGGCUGUUGUGACUGGUA
rnacentral:lncRNA from 1 species